AUUUUAUAUAAUUUGAACCAUAAUAAUUUUAAAUAUUGUAAUUGCAAAAAUUUACUCAUUUGUUUUUAUAUUUUAGAAUACUUAGGCGAACCGAAGGGCACCAAAAUUGGCAGUCUUGCCUGCAAGGGUCUGGCGCCACCUUCCAUAAAAGGAAUGGAAGCAGCAUUAAGGGAUUUAAAGGAAUGUGGCUUUGGUCGAUUGUUACGUUUUCGUUUGGCCUUUUUUUAAGAGGGGAGGAGCCUUUGCGGCUUAAGGUCAAGCACAUCAAGCUCCCGCCCAACUUUGACAUCAACUCUGGCCAAAUUCCCUCCCGCAUUCAGAUAAAGCUGCCAUGGUCAAAGGCUGACAUG